rnacentral:rRNA from 1 species
AGCAGCCGCGGUAAUUCCAGCUCCAAUAGCGUAUAUUAAAGUUGUUGCAGUUAAAAAGCUCGUAGUUGAAUUUCGGGGUCAGCAAGUUGGUCGUACCACCGGUAUGCACUGGCUUUACUGAUUCCUCCUUCUUGUAGAACCUUAAUGCCAUUAACUUGGUGUUGUGGGGAAACAGGACUGUUACUUUGAAAAAUUAGAGUGUUUAAAGCAAGCUAACGCUUGAAUACAUUAGCAUGGAAUAAUGAAAUAGGACGAUCGAUCCUAUUUUGUUGGUUUCUAGGAUUGACGUAAUGAUUAAUAGGGAUAGUUGGGGGCAUUAGUAUUCAAUUGUCAGAGGUGAAAUUCUUGGAUUUAUUGAAGACUAACUACUGCGAAAGCAUUUGCCAAGGAUGUUUUCAUUAAUCAAGAACGAAAGUUAGGGGAUCGAAGACGAUCAGAUACCGUCGUAGU